rnacentral:rRNA from 1 species
UACAGAGGUCUCAACCGUUGUUCGGAUUCAUUGGGCGUAAAGGGUGCGUAGGCGGUCGUGCAAGUCGGAUGUGAAAUCUCAGGGCUCAACCCUGAAACUGCAUUCGAUACUGCGCGGCUAGAGUGCUGGAGGGGAGACUGGAAUUUACGGUGUAGCAGUGAAAUGCGUAGAUAUCAGGAGGAACACCGGUGGCGAAGGCGGGUCUCUGGGCAGUAACUGACGCUGAGAAGCGAAAGCGUGGGGAGCGAACAGG